UACAGAAGUCUCAAGCGUUGUUCGGAAUCACUGGGCGUAAAGGGUGCGUAGGUGGCGUGGUAAGUCAGAUGUGAAAGCCCGGGGCUCAACCUCGGAAUUGCAUCCGAUACUGCCGUGCUAGAGUACUGAAGAGGUGACUAGAAUUCUCGGUGUAGCAGUGAAAUGCGUAGAUAUCGAGAGGAAUACCAACGGCGAAGGCAGGUCACUGGGCAGUUACUGACACUGAGGCACGAAGGCCAGGGGAGCAAACGGG
rnacentral:rRNA from 1 species